CAAUAGCGUAUAUUUAAGUUGUUGCAGUUAAAAAGCUCGUAGUUGGAUUUCGGAUGGGAUUUGCCGGUCCGUCGUUACGAUGUGCACUGGCCAGUCCUAUCUUGUUGUCGGGGACUAGCUCCUUGGAUUCACUUCCUGGGACUAGGAGCUGACGAGGUUACUUUGAGUAAAUUAGAGUGUUCAAAGCAAGCCUACGCUCUGAAUACAUUAGCAUGGAAUAACACGAUAGGACUCUGGCCUAUCUUGUUGGUCUGUGAGACCAGAGUAAUGAUUAAGAGGGACAGUCGGGGACAUUCGUAUUUCAUUGUCAGAGGUGAAAUUCUUGGAUUUAUGAAAGACGAACUUCUGCGAAAGCAUUUGUCAAGGAUGUUUUCAUUAA
rnacentral:rRNA from 1 species